rnacentral:rRNA from 1 species
GAGUUUGAUCCUGGCUCAGGAUGAACGCUGGCGGCGUGCCUAACACAUGCAAGUCGAGCGAAGCACACAUGCGGAGGCCUCCGGGCCAAAGGAUGUGUGACUGAGCGGCGGACGGGUGAGUAACGCGUGGGUAACCUGCCCUAUACAGGGGGAUAACAGCUAGAAAUGGCUGCUAAUACCGCAUGAGCGCACAGCUCCGCAUGGAGCGGUGUGAAAAACUCCGGUGGUAUAGGAUGGACCCGCGUCCGAUUAGCUAGUUGGUGGGGUAAAGGCCCACCAAGGCGACGAUCGGUAGCCGACCUGAGAGGGUGACCGGCCACAUUGGGACUGAGACACGGCCCAAACUCCUACGGGAGGCAGCAGUGAGGGAUAUUGCACAAUGGGGGGAACCCUGAUGCAGCGACGCCGCGUGAGUGCAGAAGUAUUUCGGUAUGUAAAGCUCUAUCAGCAGGGAAGAGAAUGACGGUACCUGACUAAGAAGCCCCGGCUAACUACGUGCCAGCAGCCGCGGUAAUACGUAGGGGGCAAGCGUUAUCCGGAUUUACUGGGUGUAAAGGGAGCGUAGACGGCUGUACAAGUCUGAAGUGAAAGCCCGUGGCUCAACCGCGGAACUGCUUUGGAAACUGUAAAGCUGGAGUACUGGAGAGGCAGGCGGAAUUCC